rnacentral:rRNA from 1 species
CACACCCGAGCGAGUUUCUUUUCUUAAGUUUUGAUGGUGAAAGCCCCUUGCUUCUAGCCGUGGAGGUUUCAUUGCAAACUCGGAGACUUAAUGCAGAAGAGGAAAGUGGAAUUCCAGUGGUAGCGAUGAAAUGCGUAGAGAUAUUGAGGAACACAGUGGCGAAGCGACUUUCUGGUCUGUAACUGACAUGAAGGCGCGAAAGCGUGGGGAAGCAAACAGGAUUAGAUAUCUGGUAGUUCACGCCGUAAACGAUGAGUGGUUAGUGGUAGAGGGUUUCCCGCCCCUUAGUGCUGAAGGUAACGCAAUAAGCACUUCGGCCUGGGGAGUACGGCCGCAAAGCUGAAACUCAAAGGAAUUGACGGGGGCCCGCACAAGCGGUGGAGCAUGUGGUUUAAUUUGAAGCAACGCGAAGAACCUUACCAGGUCUUGACAUCCUUUGACAACCCUAGAGAUAGGGGUUUUCCUUUGGGAGCAGAGUGACAGGUGGUGCAUGGUUGUUGUCAGGUUGUGUUGUGAGAUGUUGGGUUAAGUCCCGCAACGAGCGCAACCCUUGAUUUUAGUUGCCCUCAUUUAGUUGGGCACUUUAAGGUGACUGCCGGUGACAAACCGGAGGAAGGUGGGGAAGAAGUCAAAUCAUCAUGCCCCUUAUGACCUGGGGUACACACGUGGUACAAUGGGCGGUACAAAGAGGUGCAAGACCGCGAGGUGGAGGUAAUUUCAUAAAACCGUUUUCAGUUUGGAUUGUAGGGUGCAAAUUGCCUACCUGAAGCUGGAAUUGGUUGUAAUUGCGGAUCAGCAUGCCGCGGUGAAUACGUUCCCGGGCCUUGUACACACCGCCCGUCACACCAAGGGAGUUUGUAACACCCGAAGUCGGUGGGGUAACCUGUGAG